UCGCAGUGAUGACGUAAUUUCCUGCCAUUCGUAGUUUACACCAGAGGUUGAAAGACCAAAGAUGGCCCAAAUCUUCCUUGGAUGUCUGAGCGA
rnacentral:snoRNA from 1 species